GGCCAUAUUUUUCAUAUUGAAAUUUAUAACCAAACUUUUAUACAAACCACAAACCCUUCAUAACUAUUCACAUCAAAACGGAGAUCUCAAAAGAAGACAGAAACUUAGAUGAACUAGGCCGUACUCAAGGCCCCUCUCAGAAUUGUCUUCUUCUUCCAAAAAAUCCUUUUCUUCAGAUCUCACCUCCGAGUUCUCCUUCUCGGAUUCCUCCUCCACAGCUCUUCAGCGGGGUCCUGAAAUGGUUUUCCCCAAACUGGGAUGAGACUACGUCUCAGCGAGUUCUACCCCACUAAGCCCGAUUAGUAAACUAUUAUACUAAAGGCUGCCUAAACACGCACAGGGCAGAGGACUUACCUUGGCCUCAGAUCUUACCUGCAAGUCAGUACAAUUCACAAUAGGCACCCAUUUACUCAAAACAAAUCGAACCAGUCGAUUACAUGUCAUACAAUUCAAUCCCCACCGUGGGAUAUUUAAAAGCUAGGCCACGUGCAUUCUCCAGGACGACCUUCCAAGUCUCCGAGCCACGUGCCUCAAACCUCGGACCCACGUGCAUUCUCUAAGGCGACCUCUUCGCCAAGGUGGUACAUCAAGCCACCGAGCCACGUGUCCUUUUUACGAUGCCCGGGCCCACGUGCAUUCUCUAAGGUACUCGCUUACCAAAGUGACGCAUCAGAUCACCGAGCCACGUGCCCUUUUAGAUGCCAUUCCGAAUACUGGACCCACGUGCAUUCUCUAAGGUACUCGCUUACCAAAGUGACGCAUCAGAUCACCGAGCCACGUGUCCUUUUAGAUGCCUGGGCCCACGUGCAUUCUCUAAGGUACUCACUUACCAAAGUGACGCAUCAGAUCACCGAGCCACGUGCCCUUUUAGAUGCCAAACUCUGUCACCGAGCCACGUGCAUUCUCCAGGACGACAUACCAAGUCUCCGAGCCACGUGCAUUCUCUCAGGCGACCUCUUCGCCAAGGUGACAUAUUCAACCACUGAACUCACGUGCAUUUUCCAGGUGACAUUCCAAUUCACCGAGCCCACGUGUCCUCUUUCAAGCGGUUACCAAUCUUCUUUCAACACCGACAACCAAUGCCCAACGAUUUCUCAAUCAAAUAAUUAAAUCAAGUCAACAAAGCAUUAUAAAUGCUGAAUAACAUACUUGGCCAAUCACCAAUCAAUAAUUCAAUCUCAAUCGAUUCCAAUCAAUUUAGGGUAAAUCCCUAAAAUAUCACAAUUUAUUCAAUUCCAUACAACGUAGAGCUCAAAUAAAUAAACGGACUGCGCCACGACAAUCAGCACGAGAUUUCGGUCGUCGGCCAUCAACAUCUUAAUUUUUGAAAAAUAAUUAAUUUCGAAAAAUUAAAUAAUUAAUAUUAAAAAUUCAAUUUAGCUCAAAAUAAAGCCCGAUUAAAUAAACGGACUUCACCACGGUCAUCAGCAUAAUAUUCCGGUCCCGGGCCAUCUCAGUUGAAUUUUCGGAAAAUAAAUAAUUAUUUAAUUUAAUUCCGAAAAUUAAUAAUUAAAUACUAAAAAUAUCCACUUAGGCCCGAAAAGCCUAAUUGGAGCCCACUAAGGGUUGGGAAAAUUCCCGAAGCACUUCCAAUAAUUAGUAGACCACGUCUACUUGCUAAUUGCGCAAUCAAUUUAUCUAAAUCGCAUCACAAUUCACUAAUAAUUGCUAAUUUAUUCUAAUCUAACAACCUAAACAUAAUUAAUUAAAUCUAAACCAACCUUAAGCAUAAUUAGCCAACUAAUCCUGGAUUAGUGAGAUUACUCACCAAAUCGCAUCACAAAUCGGAUCAAUCCGACGGCGGCGACGCGAGGAACGAUUGUUCCCAAAGCACGGCUCGGGUUCGGGGCCCGGAAACGGCCCAAAACGGCCCAAGAGCCGGCUGAAAACCCACUUCGUGGGUUGCUGGAUUAGCUGCGAAACAGAGGAAAACAGAGAUGGUUAGAGGCGGAGAGGGGUGGGGAAAGCA
rnacentral:lncRNA from 1 species